CACGUAGUUAGCCGGGGCUUCUUAGUCAGGUACCGUCAUUAUCUUCCCUGCUGAUAGAGUUUUACAUACCGAAAUACUUCUUCACUCACGCGGCGUCGCUGCAUCAGGGUUUCCCCCAUUGUGCAAUAUUCCCCACUGCUGCCUCCCGUAGGAGUCUGGGCCGUGUCUCAGUCCCAAUGUGGCCGUUCACUCUCUCAAGCCGGCUACUGAUCGUCGCCUUGGUAGGCCGUUACCCCACCAACAAGCUAAUCAGACGCGGGUCCAUCUCACAGCGAUAAAUCUUUGAAAGGAUCGUCAUGCGGCAAUCCCUUGUUAUGCGGUAUUAGCAGCCGUUUCCGGCUGUUGUCCCCCUCUGUGAGGCAGGUUACCCACGCGUUACUCACCCGUCCGCCACUCAGUCAUUACCAUCUUCCCUCCGAAAAGUUCCGUCGGUAGCGCUUCGUUCGACUUGCAUGUGUUAAGCACGCCGCCAGCGUUCAUCCUGAGCCAGGAUCAAACUCU
rnacentral:rRNA from 1 species